rnacentral:rRNA from 1 species
CCUACGGGUGGCUGCAGUGGGGAAUUUUGGACAAUGGGGGCAACCCUGAUCCAGCCAUGCCGCAUGCGGGAAGAAGGCCUUCGGGUUGUAAACCGCUUUCGGCCGGAACGAAAUCGCCGGGGAGAACAUCCCCGGUGGAUGACGGUACCGGAAGAAGAAGCACCGGCUAACUACGUGCCAGCAGCCGCGGUAAUACGUAGGGUGCGAGCGGUAAUCGGAACGUGCGGACGUAAAGCGUGCGCAGGGAUGUGAAAUCCCCGGGCUUAACCUGGGAACUGCGUUUGUGACUGGCGGGCUGGAGUGCGGAAGAGGGAGGUGGAAUUCCACGUGUAGCAGUGAAAUGCGUAGAGAUGUGGAGGAACACCGAUGGCGAAGGCAGCCUCCUGGUCUAGCACUGACGCUCAUGCACGAAAGCGUGGGGAGCAAACAGGAUUAGAUACCCGGGAAGUC